GUGCUCACUUUAGCAGCACAUAUACUAAAAUUGUAACAAUACAGAUAAGAUUAGCAUGACCCCUGUGCAAGAAUUGCACACAAAUUCAUGAAGCAUUCAUAUUUUUA